rnacentral:sRNA from 1 species
GAUCUAGAAUCCCUUCACGACCAUGGAAUUUUUUUUUCUAUCAAUAACCUUUAAAAAAUACCGGUAUUAAUACAAUCCAUAAUAAUUAUACUGUUAAAGCUUGCAUGCUUUAUGCAUGUUGGUUGAUAGCUAUAAAAACAAGAUAUUUUUUUCUGAAUCUAAAUUGCAUGUAUACAUUAUCAAAGACUGCAUAAAAUUUUUGUGAAUUCAUGUAAAAAAAAUAUCAAAAGAUAAUUUAUUCAGAAGUCAUUUACAUGUCAAAGUGAAAGUAUUAUGAGGGAUACACAGAAGAUUUCUAUCAAAAGUCUAUACAUUUUUAUGUGAAUGUUUUUAAAAUCCUUACACCACCAUUUUAAGGUCCAUUUCUGCAUACGUGUGUGAAAAUAUCUUGAUAAUAAUUGAUUGAAGAAAAAUACUUGAUUUUAAAAUUUUGAUGGUAGCUACUCUAAUGACUAACUUAUCUGCAUGGGUCAAUCACUACCUCUAAUGAAGAACAGCUAACUAGGAAUGUAUUGUUAAUACCAUAUUGUACUUCGCUUUUUUUUGUACCAUAUUGCAGUGUACAAUUUAUGUAUUUAUAUGUUUCAAUCAAACUUGAAAUCAAGAAUGAGCUUUUAUCAUGUAGGGUAAUUACAUAUUGUAUUUAAAAUUGUAAAACUGUGUUUAAAUAUUGAAUAUAAAUCUAAGAACUAAU